AAAAAUCCGAAAAAAUUAUUAAAAUUCACUAUAAAUAUUGUUUUUUAGGAAUUCAAUAAAAAAUGAGGGUACUCCAUUAAGAAUUUUCAUGUUUUUGAAUGAAUAUGCGAAUAUUGAUAUGUUCUUCCCCUGCAUGAACCGCCAUUCAACAUUUAAUUUACAUCACACAAAAGGAUAAACAUAGAAUUAUCAUGGAAUAAGUAUAUCAAC
rnacentral:lncRNA from 1 species